UACAGAGGUCCCAAGCGUUGUUCGGAUUCACUGGGCGUAAAGGGUGCGUAGGUGGGCUUGUAAGUCAGUGGUGAAAUCUCCGAGCUUAACUUGGAAACUGCCAUUGAUACUAUAAGUCUUGAAUAUUGUGGAGGUCAGCGGAAUAUGUCAUGUAGCGGUGAAAUGCUUAGAUAUGACAUAGAACACCAAUUGCGAAAGGCAGCUGGCUACGCAUAUAUUGACACUGAGGCACGAAA
rnacentral:rRNA from 1 species